GAUGAACGCUAGCUACAGACUUAACACAUGCAAGUCGAAGGGAAACGAUAUUGGAAGCUUGCUUCCGAUAGGCGUCGACCGGCGCACGGGUGAGUAACGCGUAUCCAACCUGCCCAUCACUUGGGGAUAACCUUGCGAAAGUAAGACUAAUACCCAAUGAUAUCUCUAGAAGACAUCUGAAAGGGAUUAAAGAUUUAUCGGUGAUGGAUGGGGAUGCGUCUGAUUAGCUUGUUGGCGGGGUAACGGCCCACCAAGGCGACGAUCAGUAGGGGUUCUGAGAGGAAGGUCCCCCACAUUGGAACUGAGACACGGUCCAAACUCCUACGGGAGGCUGCAGUGAGGAAUAUUGGUCAAUGGGCGAGAGCCUGAACCAGCCAAGUAGCGUGCAGGAUGACGGCCCUAUGGGUUGUAAACUGCUUUUAUAAGGGAAUAAAGUGGGAGUCGUGACUCCUUUUGCAUGUACCUUAUGAAUAAGGACCGGCUAAUUCCGUGCCAGCCGCCGCGGUAA
rnacentral:rRNA from 1 species